rnacentral:rRNA from 1 species
UACGGAGGGAGCUAGCGUUGUUCGGAAUCACUGGGCGUAAAGCGCACGUAGGCGGAUUGCUAAGUCAGGGGUGAAAUCCUGGAGCUCAACUCCAGAACUGCCUUUGAUACUGGUGAUCUUGAGUCCGGGAGAGGUGAGUGGAACUGCGAGUGUAGAGGUGAAAUUCGUAGAUAUUCGCAAGAACACCAGUGGCGAAGGCGGCUCACUGGCCCGGUACUGACGCUGAGGUGCGAAAGCGUGGGGAGCAAACAGG